rnacentral:sRNA from 1 species
CCUCCAGUCAUUGGGGAGUAGCCUGUUCCAGACAGUUUCUGGAAAAUUCGUAUCAACAUGCUCGUUUGAAACAAAACGUGGUACGAAUGCCUAAAGAGCCGAAUAAAAUAGCGGCUUCGAGUUGGUUGGCAAGACCAUAGACACAUAACUGCACCACAGGUUGGGGGUGAGUUGUGUGUAUAUGGAAUCACCCAACCGAGGC